AUAUAAAUUUUGAUCCGACUUGUUAUAUCUACAACGCCAUUUCUAAAACCUUGACAAGGUCGAAAUUUCCCAAAACAUCGAAUUGGAAAAUAUUCUCCAAAAAUUUGGAAAAAUUUAGCAUUGUGAUAAAAUACCAUCAGACAGUAUUUUCAAAUUGAUAUCUCAAAUAUUACUCUGCCGGCUAAAAAAUUAAAUGUUUAAAAUUUCAAAAUCUCAGAUAUUACUCAGUGGAUGUAAAUGUUAAAAAUUAAAGAUUUAUGAAAAAUGUAAAAUUUCAGAUACCCCACAAUGUAACCUAGACUUAACACCAAAAAAAAACAAGACUAUGAAGUUUAAAGUGAACCCCCGCCUUGUUCCCAUCAAAACUCAUUUCUUUCUCAAUUUUGCCGGUCUCUCUCCCAUCCUUCCCUUUCUUCCUGUCUUCGCUAAGCAGAUAGGAUUCGAUGAGGUAUCUGUUGGUAUUGUGUUUGCUAUUCUGCCCUUCAGUGGAAUGCUUGCUAAACCUAUAGCGGGCUGGAUAGCUGACAGGUUUGGUCUAGAGAAGAUUGUUUUUAUGGUUUCCAUUCUUCUUUCUGGGGUAUUCUAUUCUGCCCUACUACUCUUAGGAGAUAUUCAAGCUGACACCACCAGUACUCUUCAGUGCUCAAGUCCCUUCUCUAUCCUAAAAGUAUGCCGGGGAGAGGAAGCAACUAUGAAUCUAGUCAAUCAUCAGCUCAGUAACAGUUGUCCUGAGCACUGUGAGCUUAAGUGUAGUAUAACUGACGAAUCUGUGAUGAAAACAAUCUGUGAAGCAGCUCAGUAUAGUUUUAAAGGCUGCUAUAAUGACACUACUCCCCUUGAUCUGACCGAUCCAGUGCUCACAAUCUUCUCUAAUGUAACACAUCAUGAUACACAGCCAGAUCCUAAGUGCUUACUUCUUCCAAUAGAUUCAAUAGUUAUUGGUGACCUCCAUCUUGAUUCCAUGAUAUGCUCAGACAAAACAGAGAUAACCUGUUUAACAACAUGUUACAGUGAACAUCUGAAGAGAUAUGUGAGACAGGAUUCAGUUUUUAGUUCUCAUACCUUCUGGUUCUUCACCAUCUUUAACAUCAUAGCCUACUCAGCUUUUAGUGUCACAACCAGCAUGGGAGAUGCACUGUGUUUUAAUCUGUUAGAGGGUAAGCAUGAAGAGUAUGGAGUACAGCGUGUGUUUGGAUCUAUAGGGUGGGGUCUAUUUACUAUUCUUGGAGGUUAUCUGAUAGAUUCAUACUCUCAACAUCUAAAUGGAGUUAAGGAUUACUCUCCGGCUCUAUAUCUGAUGUCAGGUCUCCUAGUUCUUGAUCUCAUUUGUUCCUGGAAAAUGCAAAUAAAGCCGCCAGUCAAAUCUAUCAGUGGCGGAUCAGAUAUGAUGCGGUUGUUGGCCAGUCCCCGUGUUGUAUUGUUUGUGAUCUGGUGUACUGUAGUUGGAAUAUUUACCUCCCUGGUAUGGCAGUGGUUACCUUGGUAUCUUGCUGAUCUAGCAGACACUAGAUCAGAGGAAGAGAGCUGUUUAAGUACAGAUCAUGGGGCCACAUGGUUAACUCUUCUUCUUAGUCUCAACAUGGGAAUUCAAUGCUUUGUUGGAGAAGUCCCAAUGUUCUUUCUAUCAGGAUGGAUUUUGAAAACUUUGGGACAUAUUCAUACAAUGACACUGGUUCUAGGAGCUUUUGGCCUGAGGUUACUGUUUUAUUCCUUCCUGACCAAUCCCUGGCAUUCUCUACUGAUAGAAGUUCUCAAUGGAAUAACGUUUGGAAUUUUUUAUGCGACUAUGACAUCAUACGCUCACAUAAUUGCGCCCCCAGGUAUGGGUUCAACCAUGCAGGGCAUCGUAGGAGGGGCAUUUGAAGGAGCAGGUGUUGCAAUUGGUUCUUUAGCUGGAGGUGCCGUUUACAAAAUGGAGGGCGGGGGAGCUUUUAUGUUCCGAUGUUUUGGAUUAUUCUCCCUCACUUGUUGCCUUGCUCAUGCCCUUCUUCAGAUUCUACUUCGUAACCUCUAUCCUCAGCUCCCGGAUACAGACGGACUAGGACUAGGAGUUCAGUUCACGGAGAUCAACUCUAGAGAGGAUGAUCCUAAACCUAUAUUCAAAGGAUUACGAAAAGACAUAUUACUGGAAGAACCGGAGCAAAAUCUAAUUUAAUUGUCAGUUUCAACACCUAAUGUAUAUUUGUGACAUUUUGCUUUUGUUGUAUAUCGUUGAAAACGUAAGUCAUCACUCAACUUAAUGCUAGACGAUUAAUCAGUAAUCACUUCAUUCGUUUUGAGAAGAGGUGCGACAUUCCCUAGUUUUAAGGCUUUAGUAUUCUUUUUUUUUUACAAGAGUAUGAUAAAAUCGGUUCUGAAUGUCGUCUUAUAAAUUAUUUUCGCUAGGCUUUAGCAUUCCUCAUUGUUUUUUUUUUUAUAAAAGUAUGAUAAAGUCUUUUCUGAAUGUCGUCUUAUAAAUUAUUUUCGCUAAUCCGCUUAGGAACUAUGAAGAAUUUUCUAGAACAUGUUUUCAUCAGCUGAUUUCUGUCAAAACAAAACAAUAUUUGCCGGACGGAGUUAAUGAAACAGAAUUCACGAGCAUUUGUUAAUUUAUUAUAGACCUCACAAUAUAGCAUUCAUAUUACCAUUAAAACCAUGGUUAUUCAAAACAACAUGUCGCGACCAAAGAAUCAUAGAAUUCGUGUGAUAACAUUUUAUUUGUAAUUUUCAGAAAACAAUUUUUGAUCUUUACUAUUAUUACUUUUUCUUGCCGUGAAGUGAGACUUAUUCUAUACUUAGGAGUGGGGGGGGGUCCAAAAAUCGUAUACUAAAACGGACCACAUAUUUAAAAAUGGGGAUCGUAACACUAAAUGUACUAACAUGUAACCGUCCAAAUGUUGACAAUAUUGCUGUGAUUUAUAUCGUUGUAAAUAAAAACAUUGACUGGUGUAUGAUGGAGGAAUGCAGCCACAAGAAAAUUAUCUCCGAGCCGCGAUUGAUGUCAUAUAGUGGAUUAGCAGUAGCGCCCUCAUUAAUGGAGGAUAUUCCGUUGCGCUGUCCUAAAUAUAUUUGUGACGUCAAUAGUGGCUCGUAAGCCAAUUGUGUGUGGCUGCCUCUCUUCCAGUGUUAUAAACAUCUUAACCAACUAUUGAUGUAUUUUUGUGAUUUGUUUCAGAAA